rnacentral:rRNA from 1 species
UACCCGCAGCACAAGUGGUGGUCAUUAUUAUUGGGCCUAAAGCGUCCGUAGCUGGCCUGUUAGAUGGACUGGGUAAAUCGAUGCGCUCAACGCAUCGAACUCCGGGUAGACCGGCAGGCUUGGGACCGGGAGAGAUGUGAGCUACUCGAGGGGUAGGGGUAAAAUCCUGUAAUCCUUCGGGGAGGACCAGUGGCGAAGGCGUCACAUUAGAACGGCUCCGACAGUGAGGGACGAAGCCCUGGGGCGCAAACCGG